GCUUGUUAACCUCCAGAUAUCAUAGUUUUGUUCAUUAACCAAUUAAAUUAAAGUUUAUAUCUUUUUAUUGCCAUGCAGCGCCGAGUAAUAGAGGUCCUAUGCCUGGACUGGAAACUUAUGCGCAAGGGAAACCACCAGCGCCUGUGCAGAAACCACCUGCUUCUAAUGGUGAAAAGAAGAAAGAUAAAGCACUAAGGAACAAGCCGGAUAAAAAUGGCAAGGAUACAAGUACUUCCAAUUAAUCGGCCAAUUCAGGAUCCAGAUAUAAAAUAAUUCUCUUAUUUGGAUUGAUCCAUGCCGAAGAAGAAUGAUAUGAGAAUCUACUGCAGACUUGCUAGUAUUUAUUAGUAAGUGUUAAGAGGUGGAAGGAAAUAUGGA